rnacentral:rRNA from 1 species
CCUACGGGAGGCAGCAGUGGGGAAUUUUCCGCAAUGGGCGAAAGCCUGACGGAGCAAUACCGCGUGAGGGAGGAAGGCUCUUGGGUCGUAAACCUCUUUUCUCAGGGAAGAAGAAAGUGACGGUACCUGAGGAAUAAGCAUCGGCUAACUCCGUGCCAGCAGCCGCGGUAAUACGGAGGAUGCAAGCGUUAUCCGGAAUGAUUGGGCGUAAAGGGUCCGCAGGUGGCUGUGUAAGUCUGCUGUUAAAGAGUCAUGCUUAACAUGAUAAGAGCAGUGGAAACUACAUAGCUAGAGUACGUUCGGGGCAGAGGGAAUUCCUGGUGUAGCGGUGAAAUGCGUAGAUAUCAGGAAGAACACCGGUGGCGAAAGCGCUCUGCUAGGCCGUAACUGACACUGAGGGACGAAAGCUAGGGGAGCGAAUGGGAUUAGAUACCCCAGUAGUCCUAGCCGUAAACGAUGGAUACUAGGCGUGGCUUGUAUCGACCCGAGCCGUGCCGUAGCUAACGCGUUAAGUNUCCCGCCUGGGGNGACGCGACGCGAGUAGUAGAACACAAGAAGUAGACGCGUGAGACGUGACCGACGGACGACGACGAGGGAGGAGG